GACGAAGGAUGCAAGCGUUAUCCGGAUUCAUUGGGCUUAAAGGGAGCGUAGGUGGCCUUAUAAGUCAGUGGUGAAAUCUCUCAGCUUAACUGAGAAAUUGCCAUUGAUACUGUAGGGCUUGAGUACAGAUGCCGUUGGCGGAAUAUGACAUGUAGUGGUGAAAUACAUAGAGAUGUCAUAGAACACCGAUUGCGAAGGCAGCUGACGAAACUGUAACUGACACUGAGGCUCGAAAGUGCGGGGAUCAAACAGG
rnacentral:rRNA from 1 species